rnacentral:rRNA from 1 species
ACGGAAGGCAGCAGUGGGGAAUAUUGCACAAUGGGGGGAACCCUGAUGCAGCAACGCCACGUGUGGGAAGAAGCAUUUCGGUGUGUAAACCACUGUCGUGAGGGAAUAAUGCUUAAUUUCGGUUAAGUUGAAUGUACCUCGAAAGGAAGCACCGGCAAACUUCGUGCUAGCAGCCGCGGUAAUACGAGGGGUGCAAGCGUUGUUCGGAAUCACUGGGCGUAAAGGGAGCGCAGGCGGAGAUGCAAGCAGUCUGUACAAUACCGGGGCCCAACCCCGGACCUGCAGACUGGACUGCUUCUCUUGGAUAGUUCAGGGGCAGGCGGAAUUCCUGGUGUAGCGGUGGAAUGCGUAGAGAUCAGGAAGAACACCGAUGGCGAAGGCAGCUUGCUGGGGACUUAUCGACGCUCAUGCUCGAAAGUGCGGGUAGCAAACAGGAUUAGAUACCCUGGUA